rnacentral:misc_RNA from 1 species
CGUCUCUCCUCGUGUUGCACUCAGGUAUGAUCACCGUGGUGGACGGCCAACCGGUUCUCGCGGAUCCCCUUAAGGAGUGGAAGAUCCUGGUGACCCAUUACGGCGGACUGGCCGGCCUCGCCCUCGUCGGACUCCUCGUGGCGGCUAUCCUCCCCUGCGCGGGUCUCUUCUUCUGUUGCUGCAGAUGCGCGGGCCACUGCGGCGCCCGCAGUCAGCCCUUCGACAAGAAGCACGAUCAUUGCAGGAAGAUUAUGCUCAGCAUCGUGCUGAUCGGCGUCGCCACCAUUCUGCUCUUCGGCGUGGUGUGCGCCUUUGUCACCAACGAGUACAUGCAGGAGGGCACCAAAGAGCUUCCGCACAACGCCAAGACCAGCCUGAAGGACGUGAAGCUCUACUUGAGCUCCACGAAACAAGAGAUUGAGAAUCUGCUGAAGACCAACUGCGAGGAGCUAGAGGUCACGCUCAACAAUAUCCUCCAGGCCAGCGGCAAGAUCGUCACCGAGCAGUUGGCGGAGUAUUCCCACGCCGUCUCCCUGACGAAUCUCAAUGACAUCGUCACCGGCCUGGAGUCGAUCAGAGAGGACCUGCGGCUCAUGAAUAAGAUAACGCAGGAACUGCGAAUAAACGCCAGUCAAUUGGACAUCGUUGUUCGCGGCGUCAAGAAGAAUCUUCUCCACACGUUAGCCGCGUGCACGACCGACAAGUGCCAGCGAGUCCUGCACGACUACAAAGUGAAUCAAAUGUCAGUCCAAGUAGACUUCGAUAAGUACAUGGACCGUUACUUCCCGAAGCUUCAGUCUCUGCCGGACGUUACGUUCGCGUUACAUAACAUCACCGUGCUGAUGGAAGGCAACAUAGUGUCGGAGGUGAGCCAAGGCAGAGAGUCGUUCCUGAAGAUCCAGAAGGACAUUCAGCACGCUGUGAAUCAGACGAUCCCCGUGGUCAGCGCGAGCAUCCGACGUGCUUGUAACUUUCUAGCCAACAUCGCCACCAACAUGACUGCCCUCAUCGACAGACUGAAUGCCGACAUAGAUAGAGUUUAUAUUCCGCAUUUAGACAUCGCCCGGAACAACAUAGAUCAGUAUUCGCCCUAUAGAUACUACCUCGGCCUGGGUAUAUCCGGCAUUCUUCUGACUGUCUUGAUGUGCUUGACGUGCGGCCUCCUCUGCGGCAUUUGCGGAAAGCGCCCGGACGGAUACGGGGACGAUUGCUGUAACAAAGGGUCAGGUGCACGCUUUCUCAUGAUGGCCGUGUGGAUCAUCUUUCUCCUGACGAGUGUGUUGAUGGUUAUAACCGUGGCUCACAUGGUAACCGGUGUUAUGGCUCAGCGCGGUAUCUGCGAGCCCCUGAAGAACCCGAAAGACAACAGAAUGUUUGAGCUGGUCGACGAACUCGUGCAGAUCAAGAGGAUACUUUACCCGAAGAAUCCGAAAGCGAAUAUCAAUAUGAGUUACAUCGUUACCAAGUGCCACGAAAACGAGACGCUCUACGACGUGUUGAAUCUGAAGAAUCUCUACGACGUGGAGAAUCUACGCGAUUACGCCGGUCGCUACGACAUCAACGACACGAUCCAACAGCUGCGACGUAAGAUCAGCCUCUCCCCCGGCGUGGUGAUUUUAAAAGACAGCGCGAGGUCCAAGCUGAACGACCUCGCGCAGAGUGGUCUCAGCGACAUCAAGUUUUACCAGUAUGCCGAGUUGCUCGCCGAAAACAUCACAAACAUCAACUUGGAACACCUCGCCAAGCAACUGCGCGAGGUUUCCGCCAAGUUGCCGGGCGGUCAAGAGGACAUCAGGGACAGUCUCGAGAAGAACGCUCACGACUUGGAGCAUUAUCACAGAGACCUGGUCAUGCCGAUGGCCAUGCUCAGCGAGCAACUGAGCGCCAAUGCGCUGAUGCUCCAAGAGAACAUCAAGUUCAAUCACAGCUCGAUGGCGGAAGCUAUUCACGACCUAGUGGACGAGGUCACCAAGGCGCAACAGUUUCUGAACAAAGACGGCCCGGAGUAUGUUCAAUAUCUCGCGACCAGGUUUGGCAACGCGUUUCUACAUCAGGUGGACAAGUUCCUCGAUCAUGUCAUCUUAAAGUCCAUCAAGGAGAUCGGGAGGUGCGCUCCCGUUUCGAACGCUUACAACGCGACACUCGUGGCAGGAUGCAAUAAGGUCCUGGAUCCAUUCAACGGUUUCUGGGCGAGCGUCGGCUGGUGCUUGAUCCUAUUCAUACCGACGAUAGUGCUCUGCGUGAAGCUGAGCGCCCUGUACCAAAAGUCGGAUCCGUAUCCGGGGCCCCUCGUUGAAGCUGAAUAUUUGUAUGACGCGUACGCAGACAGGGAUAACAUACCCCUCGCCCACGUGCACGACAAGAAGCACGUCUCCCACGGUAGACACCAUCCGUCGGCGUACGUGGAGAGCUACGAUGGACCCGCGGGAUACAACGAGCGAGAGAGGAUUGCCGACGCUCAUCAAAGUACGUCGCACCAUGACUCAAGAUACUCCGACCUGGCGCCGAAGUGAGUGGGAACCCUGCGGGGGGGUCAACCUCUCGCGUCUCUCGAUACGCCUCUGCACAAAUUGGGACUUCCCCAACGGUGGACCGCCAAGGUAUCAACCAGCUGCCGGGGCACCGCCUCCAUUAAGUACCGAGUAUGAACGACCGCCGCCCUAUUACUAUCCUGGACCGGG